AUAUUCUAUACAGUCUAAAAAUUCUUUCAAAUUCGAAAAUAAUUUACAUACUCAGAAAUUUUAUCAAUUGACAAUUUUUUGGUCACGACCUCAAGCCCAUAACUUGGGCCCAUAGUUUUCAACUCCCUAUAUAUGAAAUAAUUGGUCCAAUAGUUUUUUUUGGUGGUGAAUACAUUUUAGAAUUGGGGUUCAAUUUUUAAAAUUAUUUCUCUAUUUAUUUUUUUCUUACUGUUCAUUGCUUUUCCGUCAACUUUCCGGCGAUCAGUCACCACCCAACCCCAUUGGUCAACCCUCUUCUCUCUUUCUCGAUUUCGGGCUGGCUCCAAGCCAAAGCAACAUCACCACCAGACUCCACAUUCCAACCAGGAGCAAAAUCCGAUCAAACAACCCUUAUUUUUCCCUUCUUCUCCGACAAACAGACCCAAAAAAGAACUCCCAUCCCCUGUAUCUUGUCUUUUCCAGGCGAGAAACAACCCAAAGACCCCACCAUUUCCGACCACCGGGCCUCCAUCACAAAUCACUAGACCUUUUUCACUGCCAGCUCCUCCCAAACCCCAUAGCCUCCCCUUCCUCCGUUCACUUUUCCCGACCAGACGACCACCAAUAACCAACAAUAAACGACCACCAAACGAGACCCCAAACCCACCAAUUAGCCGACCACUUCCCUCAACCCACGACUCGGCCCACUAGAGCUAAAUAAACCAGAACCCCUCGCCCUUUCCCCCUUUUAUUUUUAUUUAUUUUGCAGGUGUUAAAUCUCUAUUUUUCUGGCGAGAUCAGUGAACCAGCGAGCUCCCAUUUCAAUCGGAUUCCACCAUCUCUGCCGACAAUAGAAGAAUGAACUACCAAUUUGUUUCUCUUUUGAGUCUUGGUGACCUUUGCUUGAUUUCAUUCUUUAUUGGUUUGUGUUUGCUCAUAGUUGUUGUUUGACUUUCAUUUUUGGUUAACUUUUUGUGAUUACAAUAGUUGUAUAAUUAUCUUUGUUUAUUGUCUCAUAGUUGACUUUAAUGAUAUUUUAGUUUUUUUUUGUUGAUUUAGUUGUUAGCUUUUAAUUACUAUUAUUAUUAUUUUUUUUUGCUUUAUUCCUGUAAGUUUUAACAUAUUGUUUUUUAUGAUUUAUUUUAUUCACAUUGUUUGAUUGACUAAAAUUUCUUGU